UUCUCCUGCCUCAGCCUCCUGAGUAGCUGGGACUACAGGCGGGUGCCAUCAUAUCUGACUAACUUUUGUAUUUUUAGUAGAGAUCGGAUUUCAAGGUGUUCACCAGACAGGUGUCAAACUCCUGACCUCAGGUGUUCCACCCACCUCGGCCUCCCAAAGCACUGGAAUAACAGGAAUGGCUAUCCCACUAUCACAUAUUCUUUUUCAUCAUGUCAAUUAAUUGCAUCAAGUUCUUCAGUGUUAAAAUACUCAUUAAGGAAUAGGAACAGCUCUGGUCUACAACUCCCAGAGAGAUCAACGCAGAGGUCAGGUGAUUUCUGCAUUUUCAACUGAGAUACAGGGUCUUGUUAUGUGCCCAAACUGGUCUUGAACUCCUGGC